AGCGAACGCUGGCGGCAGGCUUAACACAUGCAAGUCGAGCGAACAGACGAGGAGCUUGCUCCUCUGACGUUAGCGGCGGACGGGUGAGUAACACGUGGAUAACCUACCUAUAAGACUGGGAUAACUUCGGGAAACCGGAGCUAAUACCGGAUAAUAUAUUGAACCGCAUGGUUCAAUAGUGAAAGACGGUUUUGCUGUCACUUAUAGAUGGAUCCGCGCCGCAUUAGCUAGUUGGUAAGGUAACGGCUUACCAAGGCAACGAUGCGUAGCCGACCUGAGAGGGUGAUCGGCCACACUGGAACUGAGACACGGUCCAGACUCCUACGGGAGGCAGCAGUAGGGAAUCUUCCGCAAUGGGCGAAAGCCUGACGGAGCAACGCCGCGUGAGUGAUGAAGGUCUUCGGAUCGUAAAACUCUGUUAUUAGGGAAGAACAAAUGUGUAAGUAACUAUGCACGUCUUGACGGUACCUAAUCAGAAAGCCACGGCUAACUACGUG
rnacentral:rRNA from 1 species